rnacentral:rRNA from 1 species
AGCGUACACGGUGGAUGCCCUGGCAGUCAGAGGCGAUGAAGGACGUGCUAAUCUGCGAUAAGCGUCGGUAAGGUGAUAUGAACCGUUAUAACCGGCGAUUUCCGAAUGGGGAAACCCAGUGUGUUUCGACACACUAUCAUUAACUGAAUCCAUAGGUUAAUGAGGCGAACCGGGGGAACUGAAACAUCUAAGUACCCCGAGGAAAAGAAAUCAACCGAGAUUCCCCCAGUAGCGGCGAGCGAACGGGGAGCAGCCCAGAGCCUGAAUCAGUGUGUGUGUUAGUGGAAGCGUCUGGAAAGGCGCGCGAUACAGGGUGACAGCCCCGUACACAAAAAUGCACAUGCUGUGAGCUCGAUGAGUAGGGCGGGACACGUGGUAUCCUGUCUGAAUAUGGGGGGACCAUCCUCCAAGGCUAAAUACUCCUGACUGACCGAUAGUGAACCAGUACCGUGAGGGAAAGGCGAAAAGAACCCCGGCGAGGGGAGUGAAAAAGAACCUGAAACCGUGUACGUACAAGCAGUGGGAGCACGCUUAGGCGUGUGACUGCGUACCUUUUGUAUAAUGGGUCAGCGACUUAUAUUCUGUAGCAAGGUUAACCGAAUAGGGGAGCCGAAGGGAAACCGAGUCUUAACUGGGCGUUAAGUUGCAGGGUAUAGACCCGAAACCCGGUGAUCUAGCCAUGGGCAGGUUGAAGGUUGGGUAACACUAACUGGAGGACCGAACCGACUAAUGUUGAAAAAUUAGCGGAUGACUUGUGGCUGGGGGUGAAAGGCCAAUCAAACCGGGAGAUAGCUGGUUCUCCCCGAAAGCUAUUUAGGUAGCGCCUCGUGAAUUCAUCUCCGGGGGUAGAGCACUGUUUCGGCAAGGGGGUCAUCCCGACUUACCAACCCGAUGCAAACUGCGAAUACCGGAGAAUGUUAUCACGGGAGACACACGGCGGGUGCUAACGUCCGUCGUGAAGAGGGAAACAACCCAGACCGCCAGCUAAGGUCCCAAAGUCAUGGUUAAGUGGGAAACGAUGUGGGAAGGCCCAGACAGCCAGGAUGUUGGCUUAGAAGCAGCCAUCAUUUAAAGAAAGCGUAAUAGCUCACUGGUCGAGUCGGCCUGCGCGGAAGAUGUAACGGGGCUAAACCAUGCACCGAAGCUGCGGCAGCGACGCUUAUGCGUUGUUGGGUAGGGGAGCGUUCUGUAAGCCUGUGAAGGUGUGCUGUGAGGCAUGCUGGAGGUAUCAGAAGUGCGAAUGCUGACAUAAGUAACGAUAAAGCGGGUGAAAAGCCCGCUCGCCGGAAGACCAAGGGUUCCUGUCCAACGUUAAUCGGGGCAGGGUGAGUCGACCCCUAAGGCGAGGCCGAAAGGCGUAGUCGAUGGGAAACAGGUUAAUAUUCCUGUACUUGGUGUUACUGCGAAGGGGGGACGGAGAAGGCUAUGUUGGCCGGGCGACGGUUGUCCCGGUUUAAGCGUGUAGGCUGGUUUUCCAGGCAAAUCCGGAAAAUCAAGGCUGAGGCGUGAUGACGAGGCACUACGGUGCUGAAGCAACAAAUGCCCUGCUUCCAGGAAAAGCCUCUAAGCAUCAGGUAACAUCAAAUCGUACCCCAAACCGACACAGGUGGUCAGGUAGAGAAUACCAAGGCGCUUGAGAGAACUCGGGUGAAGGAACUAGGCAAAAUGGUGCCGUAACUUCGGGAGAAGGCACGCUGAUAUGUAGGUGAAGUCCCUCGCGGAUGGAGCUGAAAUCAGUCGAAGAUACCAGCUGGCUGCAACUGUUUAUUAAAAACACAGCACUGUGCAAACACGAAAGUGGACGUAUACGGUGUGACGCCUGCCCGGUGCCGGAAGGUUAAUUGAUGGGGUUAGCGCAAGCGAAGCUCUUGAUCGAAGCCCCGGUAAACGGCGGCCGUAACUAUAACGGUCCUAAGGUAGCGAAAUUCCUUGUCGGGUAAGUUCCGACCUGCACGAAUGGCGUAAUGAUGGCCAGGCUGUCUCCACCCGAGACUCAGUGAAAUUGAACUCGCUGUGAAGAUGCAGUGUACCCGCGGCAAGACGGAAAGACCCCGUGAACCUUUACUAUAGCUUGACACUGAACAUUGAGCCUUGAUGUGUAGGAUAGGUGGGAGGCUUUGAAGUGUGGACGCCAGUCUGCAUGGAGCCGACCUUGAAAUACCACCCUUUAAUGUUUGAUGUUCUAACGUGGACCCGUGAUCCGGGUUGCGGACAGUGUCUGGUGGGUAGUUUGACUGGGGCGGUCUCCUCCUAAAGAGUAACGGAGGAGCACGAAGGUUGGCUAAUCCUGGUCGGACAUCAGGAGGUUAGUGCAAUGGCAUAAGCCAGCUUGACUGCGAGCGUGACGGCGCGAGCAGGUGCGAAAGCAGGUCAUAGUGAUCCGGUGGUUCUGAAUGGAAGGGCCAUCGCUCAACGGAUAAAAGGUACUCCGGGGAUAACAGGCUGAUACCGCCCAAGAGUUCAUAUCGACGGCGGUGUUUGGCACCUCGAUGUCGGCUCAUCACAUCCUGGGGCUGAAGUAGGUCCCAAGGGUAUGGCUGUUCGCCAUUUAAAGUGGUACGCGAGCUGGGUUUAGAACGUCGUGAGACAGUUCGGUCCCUAUCUGCCGUGGGCGCUGGAGAACUGAGGGGGGCUGCUCCUAGUACGAGAGGACCGGAGUGGACGCAUCACUGGUGUUCGGGUUGUCAUGCCAAUGGCACUGCCCGGUAGCUAAAUGCGGAAGAGAUAAGUGCUGAAAGCAUCUAAGCACGAAACUUGCCCCGAGAUGAGUUCU